rnacentral:misc_RNA from 1 species
CAAGAAACGAGGCCCUACCGUGCCUCUCACCCCUGCCCCCUCCGUACCUUUUGCCUACUGUCACCGUUGUUGCUUCCUGCGGCGGACUGCCCGCCGGCCAGGGACGUUACAACAACCCUGUAAUAGAAGCAUAUGAAUCUCUGAUAAAACAUCGAAUCUGUCA